AGAGUUUGAUCCUGGCUCAGGACGAACGCUGGCGGCACGCUUAACACAUGCAAGUCGAACGGUGAAGAGUAGCUUGCUAUUCGGAUCAGUGGCGGACGGGUGAGUAACACGUGAGCAAUCUGCCUCCAAGUGGGGAAUAACGGUUGGAAACGGCCGGUAAUACCGCAUAACAUAUACGAGUCGCAUGACUUGUAUAUCAAAGAUUUAUCGCUUGGAGAUGAGCUCGCGUCUGAUUAGAUAGUUGGUGAGGUAACGGCCCACCAAGUCGACGAUCAGUAGCCGGACUGAGAGGUUGAACGGCCACAUUGGGACUGAGACACGGCCCAGACUCCUACGGGAGGCAGCAGUGGGGAAUAUUGCACAAUGGGCGCAAGCCUGAUGCAGCGAUGCCGCGUGAGGGAAGAAGGUUUUCGGAUUGUAAACCUCUGUUGACAGGGACGAUAAUGACGGUACCUGUUCAGAAAGCUCCGGCUAACUACGUGCCAGCAGCCGCGGU
rnacentral:rRNA from 1 species